rnacentral:rRNA from 1 species
CCUACGGGUGGCAGCAGUGGGGAAUAUUGCACAAUGGGGGAAACCCUGAUGCAGCGACGCCGCGUGAGUGAAGAAGUAAUUCGUUAUGUAAAGCUCCAUCAGCAGGGAAGAAAAUGACGGUACCUGUGUAAGAAGCCCCGGCUAACUACGUGCCCGCAGCCGGGGUAAUACGUAGGGGGCAAGCGUUAUCCGGAUUUACUGGGCGUAAAGGGAGUGUAGUCGGGUGUGCAAGUCCGGAGUGAAAGGCGGGGGCUCAACCCCCGGACUGCUGUGGAAACUGUACGGCUGGAGUGCGGGAGAGGUAAGUGGAAUUCCUGGUGUAGCGGUGAAAUGCGUAGAUAUUAGGAAGAACACCAGUGGCGAAGGCGGCUUACUGGA